GUGUAUAUAGUGGUUAACACAUCGGACUAGAAUGCCGAAGACGUGGGUUCGAAUCCUGCCAAGGGCAUUGAUAUUUUUCUCUUAUUCUCUCUAAAUAAAUAACCGUUAUUUUCCCUCAAAUGUUAUUAUGGAACGUUUUAGCAGAAUGAAAUACGCGCAAAUAUGAGCAAGUGUGUAGCACAAGGACGGCGGUGACAGAUAUGUCCAACCCACCAUUGCAUAACUAACCUUAAGAAUAUAUUUAGCUUUAAAAACCCUUUUAACUUCUUAGUUUUACUUUUUUAAGUACGUAACUGAAAUUUAUAGGGAAAACCGUUCAAAAAUUGUAACAUGCAAAGUAAAAUAUUUGACACAAGGGUAAUUGAAGUGUCCCUGCGGUGCCUGAGUGCUUAUUUGAUACGCAUUUGAUAUCCUUCAAGUCAAAUUCCGCAUUGACACAAGAUCUGUGACCAGAUCAGAAGUGCAUGUUUUAGCGACGUCAUGACCCCGUUGAGCGGUAUUUUCAAAUAAGUAUUCGAGUUCAUUGAUCUCAGUUUGAGUCCUUAAUUCACAAUGUAUGCGCUAGUUUGUUGGUUGGACGAAAAGGCUUUAUAGUGUAGUUCACGAAGAGGACAUAGUUUUGGGUCAAAAUGCAACUCUGGAAGAAGGCACUCUGUGUGAAGUAAAUGGAGGUAGACAAGUCGAACUCAAGGCCGCUUCAAGAGAUAAAGUCUGUUUCAGUAUAUGCCAAACGAUGUGUUACAGUUUGGAAGACAUAGGACUAAAGACGGACGUCGCCAAGACAAUCCGGAGCAAGAGGGGAUCCGCCAAGAGGAAAUUUAACAAGCGGCUAUUAAGAACAUAAGAUAAGAACAUUCGUUUAAUUUGAUUUUCUUACUCGGCUAUUAAAUGUUUUAUUGAGACCGCUCUGCUUUCUUGUACUAUAAGAUAAAUGUGUUUCCAUUUUUACAUGUUUCGCAUCUYCGAGUAAUGCCAAAAUGGUCAUUGUAUUAAAUAGGUUAUCGCGUGUGAAUGUCGUUCAACCACAUUCUCAAUAUUAUAUUUAGGCAGCAGUGAGCGAACUAGUAAUUUAGCAUGCCUAGUAUAUGUCAUUGCCUAAUUAAAUAUUAUCAAAACAA